CACCGACAGAGCCAGUCCUAACAUGUUUUAGACCUAGGGCCAAAUGAAAAAAAUGGAGUCUUCUCUAUUAAAAAUUAACAUACUUUAAACAUUAAUUAUCAUUGAAAAAUUAAUCUAUAUGCAAUAAUUUGCUAUAGAUAUAUUCGUUAAGCAGCGUGUAAAAUCCAUCAUUAACCUAUAUAAUUAUUUUUCUUGUUAUAAUAUUGUAGAAAACCAUCCUUGCACCCAAUUGGAACAUCAAU
rnacentral:lncRNA from 1 species